rnacentral:rRNA from 1 species
AGAGUUUGAUCCUGGCUCAGGAUAAACGCUGGCGGUGUACAUAAGACAUGCAAGUCGAACGGGAGAAGACAGGAAGAUUUAUCUACUUGUUGGACACCGUGGCGGACGGGUGAGUAACACGUAAGCAACCUGCCUAUAAGAGGGGAAUAACAGUGAGAAAUUACUGAUAAUACCGCAUAAGCUGGAGGUAUCGCAUGAUACAUUCAGAAAAGAUUUAUCGCUUAUAGAUGGGCUUGCGUCUGAUUAGCUAGUUGGUGAGAUAACAGCUCACCAAGGCGACGAUCAGUAGCCGGAUUGAGAGGUUGAACGGCCACAUUGGGACUGAGACACGGCCCAGACUCCUACGGGAGGCAGCAGUCGGGAAUAUUGCACAAUGGAGGAAACUCUGAUGCAGUGACACCGCGUAUAGGAAGAAGGUCUUAGGAUUGUAAGCUAUUGUCGUGUGAGAAGAAAAUGACCAUCACAGGAGGAAGCCCUGGCUAAAUAUGUGCCAGCAGCCGCGGUAAUACAUAUGGGGCGAGCGUUAUCCGGAUUUAUUGGGUGUAAAGGGUGCGUAGGCGGGAAAAUAAGUCAGUAUGUGAAAUCCCUCGGCUCAACUGAGGAACUGCAACUGAAACUAUUUUUCUUGAGUGUUGAAGGGGAAAGUGGAAUUCCUAGUGUAGCGGUGAAAUGCGUAGAGAUUAGGAGGAACACCAGUGGCGAAGGCGACUUUCUGGGCAACAACUGACGCUGAGGCACGAAAGUGUGGGGAGCAAACAGGAUUAGAUACCCUGGUAGUCCACACCGUAAACGAUGGAUACUAGGUGUUGGCAAUGAAUAAUUGUCGGUGCCGGCGCUAACGCAAUAAGUAUCCCACCUGGGGAGUACGACCGCAAGGUUGAAACUCAAAGGAAUUGACGGGGGCCCGCA